GGUAGGAUGAACGGUGUUCGGU
rnacentral:siRNA from 1 species